rnacentral:rRNA from 1 species
UACGUAGGGGGCUAGCGUUGUCCGGAUUUAUUGGGCGUAAAGAGCGUGUAGGCGGCCAGGCAGGUCUGCUGUGAAAACUCGAGGCUCAACCUCGAGACGUCGGCGGAAACCAUCUGGCUAGAGUCCGGAAGAGGAGAGUGGAAUUCCUGGUGUAGCGGUGAAAUGCGCAGAUAUCAGGAAGAACACCCGUGGCGAAGGCGACUCUCUGGGACGGUACUGACGCUGAGACGCGAAAGCGUGGGGAGCGAACAGG